rnacentral:rRNA from 1 species
GGCGUGCUUAACACAUGCAAGUCGAACGGUAAGGCUCCAGCUUGCUGGGGUACACGAGUGGCGAACGGGUGAGUAACACGUGGGUGACCUGCCCUGCACUUCGGGAUAAGCCUGGGAAACUGGGUCUAAUACCGGAUAGGACCGCACCGUGAGGGUGUGGUGGAAAGUUUUUUCGGUGUGGGAUGGGCCCGCGGCCUAUCAGCUUGUUGGUGGGGUAAUGGCCUACCAAGGCGGCGACGGGUAGCCGGCCUGAGAGGGUGGACGGCCACAUUGGGACUGAGACACGGCCCAGACUCCUACGGGAGGCAGCAGUGGGGAAUAUUGCACAAUGGGCGGAAGCCUGAUGCAGCGACGCCGCGUGGGGGAUGACGGCCUUCGGGUUGUAAACUCCUUUCACCAUCGACGAAGGGUUUCUGACGGUAGAUGGAGAAGAAGCACCGGCUAACUACGUGCCAGCAGCCGCGGUAAUACGUAGGGUGCGAGCGUUGUCCGGAAUUACUGGGCGUAAAGAGCUCGUAGGUGGUUUGUCGCGUCGUCUGUGAAAUUCCGGGGCUUAACUCCGGGCGUACAGGCGAUACGGGCAUAACUUGAGUACUGUAGGGGAGACUGGAAUUCCUGGUGUAGCGGUGAAAUGCGCAGAUAUCAGGAGGAACACCGGUGGCGAAGGCGGGUCUCUGGGCAGUAACUGACGCUGAGGAGC